GCCAGUGUAUUUUUUCAAAUCAUCCUUAGCUUCGAAACGAAAUGACUUCACGUAUUACAGGAAUAGAAUUUCUGACGCAAUCUUGUUUUAUUGGCAAUAUAAAACGUCAAGACAGAUAUACUUUAUAGUUGGAAUUUCUACCAAAGUCGAUCUAUUGAAAGAAAUACAAGUUGUUCAGUCGAGCCGAGAUUAAAAACCUGGAGUAUGAUACGCAGGAAUUUAGGUCCUAUGAUCCUCGAUAUUAGGGAAUGAAAAUUGAUCAAUGUUUUGCAACAUACAAAGAAAUUUCUCCGCGUCCUGUUUUCACCUUAUGCUGAAUUAAAGUGACGAUUAUCCUGUGUGAAGCUACUGUAAAAACAUUGAAACAAUCUCAUAAGAACUGUUGGAGUUGAAGCAAUUAUGCUCACAUGGCUAAGCAGUCAUGUUGUGUACUUAGAAUAUAUAUUAAUAAUUCAUAUUCUUUCUAUUGUCA